GCCCUCGUGGCGCAAUGGAUAGCGCGUUGGACUUCUAAUCCAAAGGUUGUGGGUUCGACCCCCACCGAGGGUG
rnacentral:tRNA from 1 species